UACGAAGGGGGCUAGCGUUGCUCGGAAUUACUGGGCGUAAAGCGCACGUAGGCGGUCUUUUAAGUCGGGGGUGAAAUCCUGGAGCUCAACUCCAGAACUGCCUUCGAUACUGGAAGACUUGAGUCCGGGAGAGGUGAGUGGAACUGCGAGUGUAGAGGUGAAAUUCGUAGAUAUUCGCAAGAACACCAGUGGCGAAGGCGGCUCACUGCCCGGUA
rnacentral:rRNA from 1 species